AUGCUAGGUCUUGCUUAUGAAUCGUACCAACUUGGAUGCCCACGAGCCGCACCAGUAUCAAAUACCGAUGAAUUCAUUUACCGAAACCUACCUACAAAGCACAAUGUCCUAAGAAAGGUUCCCGACUGUCGCCACUGUGGGGCAUUGCGGUUUCCAUUUGAGGGCCCAGCAUUUUGUUGCAGAAAAGGAAAAGUCGAUAUUAUUACUCCAGACAUUCCAGAAGAGCUAAAACGGUUGUUUACAAGUCAAGAUGAUGAGGAUGCUAAAUAUUUUAGAGAGCAUAUACGGUAUUUCAACUCGCACUUCUCAUUCACAACUCUAGGAGUCACUCUUGAUCGCCGAGUAAGCACAGCGGCAGGAACUGGAGUAUAUACAUUUCGUGCAUGUGGUGGCUUAUACCACGCGCUUGAUGGUCUGGUGCCGGCUGAUAAUGGACCUCGGCAUUUGCAGCUUUAUAUUUAUGAUACAGAUCAAGACUUGGUUCACAGGGCUAUGAGGUCUCCAGAUCUUAAUAUAGACCUCAUACGAAAGAUUUUGCGAAUACUUGAGCGUAACCCUUAUGCACAAGUUUUAAAGAGCCUUGGGUCUGUUCCAAAUCUAGAUGAGUAUAGGAUCUCACUAAACACGGAUAUCAACUUGGAUCAACGAAGGUACAAUGCCCCAACGACUUCUCAGGUGGCAGCGAUAUGGGUUGAAGGGAGCGACCCAAAGAAUUGCUUUGACAGAAGUGUUGUCGUACAUGGAAAAAAAGGAGACCGGCCCCUAUAUAUUAGAGCAUACUAUGGGUGCUACGACCCAUUGUCAUAUCCACUAUUCUUCCCACGUGGGGAGACUGGUUGGAAUCGUAGGAUGCCAUAUGUUGGCCCCCUCGAUGACACGACCCAAUAUUCAGCGCAUAAUACUGCACCACGAGUAAACCAAACCUCUGAUUUAUCUACAGAUGACAAUGAAUAUAACCCAGAUGAGGAUUUUGGUGACAAUGAGGUGAAUGCAACAAAAUCCAGGAAAUUUGUUAGUGCGAGGGAGUACUACUGCUUCAAACUGCAGGUCAGGAAGAAGCUUUUUAACAUCAUCUUGUUCGGGGCGCGCCUUUUCCAACAGUGGGCUGUUGACAUGUAUAUCAAGAUGGAGACUAUGAGGCUUGACAGGUACUCAAAGCCGGAAAAUCAGAAGGUUAUACGCGCUGACCUCUACCAGGGUCUUGUUGACACUGUCGUUGUCGGCGAGUCACGCGGUGAUCGGAUUGGCAAGAGAAUCGUGCUCCCACGUACAUUUCCAGGUGGUGACCGUGACAUGCAACGGAGGUUUCUAGAUGCGAUGGCAAUAGUCCAGCGGUGGGGUAAACCGGAUUAUUUUAUCACAAUGACUUGCAAUUCUUAUUGGGAGGAGAUAACUGAGAAAUUGUUGCCUGGACAACUGCCACAAGACCGUCCAGACCUGGUGGCAAGAGUAUACAAAGAUAAACAACGAGAUAUGAUGGACUUACUGACUAAGGGUAAGCAUUUCGGAGAAGUUGUGGCUUAUGUACAUGUCACGGAGUUUCAGAAACGAGGUCUCCCGCAUGAGCAUAUACUUCUAAUCAUGAAAGCAAAAAGCAAGUUAGCGACCCCGGAUGACUAUGAUCGGGUGAUAUCUGCAGAGAUACCUGACAAAGAAAAAUACCCCAUUCUACAUGAUCUGGUCAUCAAACACAUGAUGCAUGGACCCUGUGGUGAGUUGAAAAAAAGUUGUCCUUGCAUGAUUGAUGGACAGUGCCGGUUUCAUUACCCGCGAGAUUUUUGCAAUGCCACACAACAAGGGAAAGACUCAUAUCCCAUCUAUAGGAGGAGGGACGAUGGGCGUGGAGUUAGGAUCAGAGGAGCAAAUUUGGACAAUAGAUGGGUGGUCCCUUACAACCCUUUUCUGCUUAUGCGAUACAACUGCCACAUUAAUGUCGAAGCAUGCUCGAGCAUCAAGGCAGUCAAGUACUUGUUCAAGUACAUCUACAAAGGGCAUGAUCGGACAUCCUUUGCAUUCGAGCAGGAUAUCAUCAAUGAUGGUGGAAUCAUCAAUGAAAUCUGA
rnacentral:rRNA from 1 species